AAUCAACGCUGGCGGCGUGCCUCAGACAUGCAAGUCGAACGAUUAAAGCUCUCUUCGGAGAGUGUAUAGAGUGGCGCACGGGUGAGUAACACGUAAGUAAUCUACCCUCGAGUGGGGAAUAACGUCCGGAAACGGACGCUAAUACCGCAUAAUGCAGCGGCACCGCAAGGUGACAGUUGUUAAAGAUUUAUCGCUUGAGGAGGAGCUUGCGGCAGAUUAGCAGUUGGUAAGGUAAUGGCUUACCAAGGCUACGAUCUGUAACCGGUCUUAGAGGACGGUCGGUCACACUGACACUGAAUAACGGGUCAGACUCUUACGGGAGGCAGCAGUCGGGAAUUUUGGGCAAUGGGCGAAAGCCUGACCCAGCAACGCCGCGUGAAGGAUGAAGUAUUUCGGUAUGUAAACUUCGAAAGAAUGGGAAGAAUAAAUGACGGUACCAUUUAUAAGGUCCGGCUAACUACGUGCCAGCAGCCGCCGUAA
rnacentral:rRNA from 1 species